rnacentral:rRNA from 1 species
GCACCGGCUAACUCCGUGCCAGCAGCCGCGGUAAUACGGAGGGUGCGAGCGUUAAUCGGAAUUACUGGGCGUAAAGCGCACGCAGGCGGCUAUAUAAGCCAGAUGUGAAAGCCCCGGGCUUAACCUGGGAGAGUCAUUUGGAACUGUAUAGCUAGAGUUUUGGAGAGGGGAGUGGAAUUCCAGGUGUAGCGGUGAAAUGCGUAGAUAUCUGGAGGAACAUCAGUGGCGAAGGCGGCUCUCUGGCCAAAAACUGACGCUCAUGUGCGAAAGCGUGGGUAGCGAACAGGAUUAGAUACCCUGGUAGUCCACGCCGUAAACGCUGUCUACUAGCUGUAUGCGGAUUCAUUUCUGUGUGUAGCGAAGCUAACGCGCUAAGUAGACCGCCUGGGGAGUACGGCCGCAAGGUUAAAACUCAAAUGAAUUUUGACGGGG